GUAUCAAAAAUGAGAUAUUAAAGUAGAGACAAGGUGGAACGAUACAGAGAAGAUUAGCAUGGCCCCUGCGCAAGAUGACACGCAAAUUCGUGAAGCGUUCCAUAUUUUU
rnacentral:snRNA from 1 species